CAGUCGCCACGGUAAAACAGAGGGUGCGAGCGUUAAUCGGAUUUACUGGGCGUAAAGCGUGCGUAGGCGGCUUCUUAAGUCGGAUGUGAAAUCCCUGAGCUUAACUUAGGAAUUGCAUUCGAUACUGGGAAGCUAGAGUAUGGGAGAGGAUGGUAGAAUUCCAGGUGUAGCGGUGAAAUGAGUAGAGAUCUGGAGGAAUACCGAUGGCGAAGGCAGCCAUCUGGCCUAAUACUGACGCUGAGGUACGAAAGCAUGGGGAGCAAACAGGAUUAGAUACCCCAGUAGUCCCUGUCUCUUAUAA
rnacentral:rRNA from 1 species